UACAAUGCGGCGCCAGAUUACGCACAUGAUCAAAUACAAGUAUAUCCCAUUCAGCAUCGGAAAGCAGAAAUACACUGGUAAGAAGCCUUCUGCAAGUAGCAGUGGCUUUCGUGGGGAUUGAAGCUUAGCUUGUUCGCGGGUGCGUUGCCGUUGGUACGCAGUUACUACAAAACAUAGGUUCUUCGUAGUGCUGACAUAUCCCAGAACUGAAAGUUGAUUGUUUAUAUACACAUGGUGAUGAAUUUCAGAUUAUUUGCAAGUAAUGUGUACAAAAAAGUAUUGUUUUUGCACUUGUAUGUCAGUAGGCAUCAUUGGCAGAUUGUAGGUUUUAAUUUUAUUUAUUUGUUUUUAAAAAUGGUAUUCCAAAUUUAAGGUUUUUAAAUAUAUUUUGAGAAUCAUAUUUAUAUUUC